rnacentral:rRNA from 1 species
GACGAACGCUGGCGGCGUGCUUAACACAUGCAAGUCGAACGAAGAGCGAUGUAAGCUUGCUUCUAUCAAUCUUAGUGGCGAACGGGUGAGUAACGCGUAAUCAACCUGCCCUUCAGAGGGGGACAACAGUUGGAAACGACUGCUAAUACCGCAUACGAUCUAAUCUCGGCAUCGAGGAUAGAUGAAAGGUGGCCUCUACAUGUAAGCUAUCACUGAAGGAGGGGAUUGCGUCUGAUUAGCUAGUUGGAGGGGUAACGGCCCACCAAGGCGAUGAUCAGUAGCCGGUCUGAGAGGAUGAACGGCCACAUUGGGACUGAGACACGGCCCAGACUCCUACGGGAGGCAGCAGUGGGGAAUCUUCCGCAAUGGACGAAAGUCUGACGGAGCAACGCCGCGUGAGCGAUGACGGCCUUCGGGUUGUAAAGCUCUGUUAAUCGGGACGAAAGGCCUUCUUGCGAAUAGUGAGAAGGAUUGACGGUACCGGAAUAGAAAGCCACGGCUAACUACGUG